AGAGUUUGAUCCUGGCUCAGAACGAACGCUGGCGGCGUGCUUAACACAUGCAAGUCGAACGCGAAAGGGACUUCGGUCCUGAGUAAAGUGGCGCACGGGUGAGUAACGCGUGGAUAAUCUACCCAAUGAUCUGGGAUAACAUCUCGAAAGGGGUGCUAAUACCGGAUAAGACCACGAAGUCCUCGGACUUUGCGGUAAAAGGUGGGGACCUUCGGGCCUACCGUCAUCGGAUGAGUCCGCGUACCAUUAGCUAGUUGGUGGGGUAAAGGCCUACCAAGGCUACGAUGGUUAGCUGGUCUGAGAGGAUGAUCAGCCACACUGGAACUGAGACACGGUCCAGACUCCUACGGGAGGCAGCAGUGGGGAAUUUUGCGCAAUGGGGGAAACCCUGACGCAGCAACGCCGCGUGAGUGAUGAAGGCUUUCGGGUCGUAAAGCUCUGUCAGAGGGGAAGAAAUGCUUGGGUGCUAAUACCACUCAUGCUUGACGGUACCCUCAAAGGAAGCACCGGCUAACUCCGUGCCAGCCGCCGCGGUAAUUC
rnacentral:rRNA from 1 species